rnacentral:lncRNA from 1 species
UUCUAAUGCAAUUAGUUUGUAACAUUUGUUCUGAUUGGAUGACAGCAAGCGUAAAAUUCUCUAUCUCCUUGUCUGUAACUAAGGAAGCCGACAUUUUGAAUUUCGGAAUAUAUUGACAUGUUAUUUCUACAAUAAUAAACAAAAAACUCACUUGUUGCGCCUAAAAAUCUUCUUUUUAUCAAAUUUUAUUACAUUUUGAAGC